CUGCUGCCUUCCGUAGGAGUCUGGUCCGUGUCUCAGUACCAGUGUGGGGGACCUUCCUCUCAGAACCCCUACGCAUCGUCGCCACGGUGAGCCGUUACCCCGCCGUCUAGCUAAUGCGCCGCAUGCCCAUCCUCUUCCGAUGAAUCUUUCCUCGAUCUCGGAUGCCCGAAACCGAUAUACGCGGGAUUAGCCUCCCUUUCGGAAGGUUGUCCCCCUGAAGAGGGCAGGUUGCAUACGUGUUACUCACCCGUGCGCCGGUCG
rnacentral:rRNA from 1 species